UACGGGGGGGGCAAGCGUUGUUCGGAAUUACUGGGCGUAAAGGGCGCGUAGGCGGUUGGAUAAGUCAGCUGUGAAAACCACGGGCUUAACUCGUGGCCUGCAGUUGAAACUGUCUGGCUUGAGUGUGGGAGAGGAGAGUGGAAUUCCUGGUGUAGCGGUGAAAUGCGUAGAUAUCAGGAGGAACACCGGUGGCGAAGGCGGCUCUCUGGACCACAACUGACGCUGAGGCGCGAAAGCUAGGGGAGCAAACAGG
rnacentral:rRNA from 1 species